GAUCCUCGGCUCAGGAUGAACGUUAGCUACAGGCUUAACACAUGCAAGUCGAGGGGCAUCAGGGUGUAGCAAUACACCGCUGGCGACCGGCGCACGGGUGAGUAACACGUAUCCAACCUGCCCUUUACUCGGGGAUAGCCUUUCGAAAGAAAGAUUAAUACCCGAUGGCAUAACAUGACCUCCUGGUUUUGUUAUUAAAGAAUUUCGGUAGAGGAUGGGGAUGCGUUCCAUUAGGCAGUUGGCGGGGUAACGGCCCACC
rnacentral:rRNA from 1 species